rnacentral:rRNA from 1 species
UACGGAGGGUGCAAGCGUUAUCCGGAUUCACUGGGUUUAAAGGGUGCGUAGGCGGGUAUGUAAGUCAGUGGUGAAAUCUUGGAGCUUAACUCCGAAACUGCCAUUGAUACUAUGUAUCUUGAAUAUCGUUGAGGUUUGCGGAAUAUGUCAUGUAGCGGUGAAAUGCUUAGAUAUGACAUAGAACACCAAUUGCGAAGGCAGCAGGCUAAACGAACAUUGACGCUGAGGCACGAAAGCGUGGGGAUCAAACAGGAUUAGAUACCCUGGUAGUCCACGCCCUAAACUAUGAUUACUCGACAUACGCGAUACACUGUGUGUGUCUGAGCGAAAGCAUUAAGUAAUCCACCUGGGAAGUACGACCGCAAGGUUGAA